rnacentral:other from 1 species
CUCCUUCUGCGGUGUUCGAUGCGGAUCUGGUAGUCCCUCGACCCUAAAUCUCAGAUUGGGGUCGUCGUCUGCAGGUAGCUGUGCGCAAGACCGCGUUUAGCGGAAAGCCUGGGCUGCCGCGGCUGACCCCACCUUUCGCUCUGGUUCGAGAGCGAUGAUCUGCGACGGCACAUGCGGAAGGAGC